rnacentral:rRNA from 1 species
UGCAGUGGGUACGGGCAGACUAGAGUGCGGUAGGGGAGAUUGGAAUUCCUGGUGUAGCGGUGGAAUGCGCAGAUAUCAGGAGGAACACCGAUGGCGAAGGCAGAUCUCUGGGCCGUAACUGACGCUGAGGAGCGAAAGCGUGGGGAGCGAACAGGAUUAGAUACCCUGGUAGUCCACGCCGUAAACGUUGGGAACUAGAUGUGGGGACCAUUCCACGGUCUCCGUGUCGCAGCUAACGCAUUAAGUUCCCCGCCUGGGGAGUACGGCCGCAAGGCUAAAACUCAAAGGAAUUGACGGGGGCCCGCACAAGCGGCGGAGCAUGCGGAUUAAUUCGAUGCAACGCGAAGAACCUUACCAAGGCUUGACAUAUACCGGAAACGGCCAGAGAUGGUCGCCCCGCAAGGUCGGUAUACAGGUGGUGCAUGGUUGUCGUCAGCUCGUGUCGUGAGAUGUUGGGUUAAGUCCCGCAACGAGCGCAACCCUCGUUCUAUGUUGCCAGCACGUUAUGGUGGGAACUCAUAGGAGACUGCCGGGGUCAACUCGGAGGAAGGUGGGGAUGACGUCAAAUCAUCAUGCCCCUUAUGUCUUGGGCUUCACGCAUGCUACAAUGGCCGGUACAAAGGGCUGCGAUACCGUAAGGUGGAGCGAAUCCCAAAAAGCCGGUCUCAGUUCGGAUUGGGGUCUGCAACUCGACCCCAUGAAGUCGGAGUCGCUAGUAAUCGCAGAUCAGCAACGCUGCGGUGAAUACGUUCCCGGGCCUUGUACACACCGCCCGUCAAGUCAUGAAAGUCGGUAACACCCGAAGCCAGUG